GCAGUAGCCGCGGGAAAACAGAGGGUGCAAGCGUUAAUCGGAAUUACUGGGCGUAAAGCGCGCGUAGGUGGUUUGUUAAGUUGGAUGUGAAAUCCCCGGGCUCAACCUGGGAACUGCAUUCAAAACUGACUGACUAGAGUAUGGUAGAGGGCGGUGGAAUUUCCUGUGUAGCGGUGAAGUGCGUAGAUAUAGGAAGGAACACCAGUGGCGAAGGCGACCACCUGGACUAAUACUGACACUGAGGUGCGAAAGCGUGGGGAGCAAACAGGAUUAGAUACCCCGGUAGUCCCUGUCUCUUAUAC
rnacentral:rRNA from 1 species